rnacentral:rRNA from 1 species
GUACUCAUUAAGGCUGAGCUGUGAUGGGGAGAAGACAUUGUGUCUUCGAGUCGUUGAUUUCACACUGCCGAGAAAAGCCUCUAGAUAGAAAAUAGGUGCCCGUACCGCAAACCGACACAGGUAGUCAAGAUGAGAAUUCUAAGGUGAGCGAGCGAACUCUCGUUAAGGAACUCGGCAAAAUGACCCCGUAACUUCGGGAGAAGGGGUGCUCUUUAGGGUUAACGCCCAGAAGAGCCGCAGUGAAUAGGCCCAAGCGACUGUUUAUCAAAAACACAGGUCUCUGCUAAACCGUAAGGUGAUGUAUAGGGGCUGACGCCUGCCCGGUGCUGGAAGGUUAAGAGGAGUGGUUAGCUUCUGCGAAGCUACGAAUCGAAGCCCCAGUAAACGGCGGCCGUAACUAUAACGGUCCUAAGGUAGCGAAAUUCCUUGUCGGGUAAGUUCCGACCCGCACGAAAGGCGUAACGAUUUGGGCACUGUCUCAACGAGAGACUCGGUGAAAUCAUAGUACCUGUGAAGAUGCAGGUUACCCGCGACAGGACGGAAAGACCCCGUGGAGCUUUACUGUAGCCUGAUAUUGAAAUUCGGCACAGCUUGUACAGGAUAGGUAGGAGCCUUUGAAACGUGAGCGCUAGCUUACGUGGAGGCGCUGGUGGGAUACUACCCUAGCUGUGUUGGCUUUCUAACCCGCACCACUUAUCGUGGUGGGAGACAGUGUCAGGCGGGCAGUUUGACUGGGGCGGUCGCCUCCUAAAAGGUAACGGAGGCGCUCAAAGGUUCCCUCAGAAUGGUUGGAAAUCAUUCAUAGAGUGUAAAGGCAUAAGGGAGCUUGACUGCGAGACCUACAAGUCGAGCAGGGUCGAAAGACGGACUUAGUGAUCCGGUGGUUCCGCAUGGAAGGGCCAUCGCUCAACGGAUAAAAGCUACCCCGGGGAUAACAGGCUUAUCUCCCCCAAGAGUUCACAUCGACGGGGAGGUUUGGCACCUCGAUGUCGGCUCAUCGCAUCCUGGGGCUGUAGUCGGUCCCAAGGGUUGGGCUGUUCGCCCAUUAAAGCGGUACGCGAGCUGGGUUCAGAACGUCGUGAGACAGUUCGGUCCCUAUCCGUCGUGGGCGUAGGAAAUUUGAGAGGAGCUGUCCUUAGUACGAGAGGACCGGGAUGGACAUACCUCUGGUGUACCAGUUGUCGUGCCAACGGCAUAGCUGGGUAGCUAUGUGUGGACGGGAUAAGUGCUGAAAGCAUCUAAGCAUGAAGCCCCCCUCAAGAUGAGAUUUCCCAACUUCGGUUAUAAGAUCCCUCAAAGAUGAUGAGGUUAAUAGGUUCGAGGUGGAAGCAUGGUGACAUGUGGAGCUGACGAAUACUAA